rnacentral:rRNA from 1 species
UAGGGAAUCUUCCACAAUGGGUGCAAACCUGAUGGAGCAAUGCCGCGUGAGUGAAGAAGGUCUUCGGAUCGUAAAGCUCUGUUGUUAGAGAAGAACACGUGCUAGGUAACUACUAGCACCUGAC